UCCCCGUGCUCGCCGACGGGUAUCCGCAGCAGCGGCUCCAGGUGCCGCAGCAACCGGACGUCCGCCGGUUCGGACCCGGUCCCGUGGAG
rnacentral:tRNA from 1 species